AUGGCCGGGCCCGGUCUGACCGCAGCGCUCCGUGCGCGGCUCCGGUGGGAUCAGUGCCGAGGCCGCCGCUCGCCUGGGCGGCAGAACCACGGCACGGCACGGCACGGCACGGCACGGCACGGCACGGCACGGCACGGCACGGCACGGCACCAGCCCAGGGCAGGGCAGGGGAACCUCCCGGCCUGGACACUCCUGACACCCCUCCCCGGCCGGAUCCCCAUCCCUGGGCAGGACAGCAUCCCUCAGCAGGACCUGUGCCACCGGGACACCCCCUUUCCCACACGGACACCCCUUUUCCCAUUCGGACACCCCUUUUCCCACACGAAAACCCCUUUUCCCACCGGGACACCCCUUUUCCCACACGGACACCCCUUUUCCCACCGGAACACCCCUUUUCCCACACGGACACCCCUUUUUCCCACAGGACACCCCCUUUCCCACAGGACACCCCUUUUCCCACCGGGACACCCCCUUUUCCCACACGGACAUCCCUUUUCCCACACGGACACCCCUUUUCCCAUUCGGACACCCCAUUUCCCACACGGACACCCCUUUUCCCACAGGACACCCCCAUGGCGGGGGGGGGGGCUCAGAGGGGGCUGCGCGCGCGCCCGCCCGCGGCCCCGCCAUUGGCCCAAAGUAGGUCACGGCCCGCGCCCGCGCGCGCGCGCUCACGUGACGGCCCCGAGCCGCGUGACGGGCGGGCGGGGCCCGGGGCGCCGUGAGGGGCCGGGGUCGUGUCCCCGUCCUUGUGCCGCUGUCCCUGUUCUUCUCCCGGCCCUUCCCUUCUCCCGGCCCUUCCUCCCCUCACGGACACAUCGCCGCCUCCCCCCCGAGCCUCCGGCACCGCGGCCAGCGCUCUGCAGCUCCCGGCGUGCCCGGCUCCCCUCGGCGGCCGCCCCGCGGUGCUCGGGACCCGCCUCUGCCCGUGCGUGCUCGGGGACCCCGCUGCGAUGCUCCGGGGCGGUGAUCACCGUGUGCGCCUUGGCAGAAGGAGCCCUGGAAAGUAUAUAA
rnacentral:lncRNA from 1 species